rnacentral:rRNA from 1 species
GGCCUUCGGGUUGUAAAGGACUUUUGUCAGGGAAGAAAAGGCCGUUGCCAAUAUCGGCGGCCGAUGACGGUACCUGAAGAAUAAGCACCGGCUAACUACGUGCCAGCAGCCGCGGUAAUACGUAGGGUGCGAGCGUUAAUCGGAAUUACUGGGCGUAAAGCGGGCGCAGACGGUUACUUAAGCAGGAUGUGAAAUCCCCGGGCUCAACCCGGGAACUGCGUUCUGAACUGGGUGACUCGAGUGUGUCAGAGGGAGGUGGAAUUCCACGUGUAGCAGUGAAAUGCGUAGAGAUGUGGAGGAAUACCGAUGGCGAAGGCAGCCUCCUGGGAUAACACUGACGUUCAUGUCCGAAAGCGUGGGUAGCAAACAGGAUUAGAUACCCUGGUAGUCCACGCCCUAAACGAUGUCAAUUAGCUGUUGGGCAACUUGAUUGCUUGGU